rnacentral:rRNA from 1 species
CCUACGGGAGGCAGCAGUGGGGAAUAUUCGGCAAUGGGCGCAAGUCUGACCGAGCAACGCCGCGUGAGUGAAGAAGGCUUUCGGGUUGUAAACUUCUUUUGUCAGGGAAGAGUGAGAGAGGGUACCUGUAGAAUAAGCCACGGCUAACUACGUGCCGGCAGCCGCGGUAAAACGUAGGUGGCAAGCGGUGUUCGGCUUUACUGGGUCUAAAGGGCGUGUAGCCGGGUUGACAAAUCAGAGGGUAAGCCGUGCGGCUUAACCGCAGGACUGAAUUGGAAACUGGUGAUCUUGAGUACUGGAGAGGCGGAUGGAAUUCCAAGUGUAGCGGUGAAAUGCGUAGAUAUUAGGAGGAACACCAGUGGCGAAGGCGGUCUUCUGGAUAGCAACUGACGGUGAGGCGCGAAAGCGUGGGGAGCAAACAGGAUUAGAUACCCUUGUAGUC